CCGCCUAGUAGCAAAUAAGCGCCAUUACAGUAGUCGCCAUUUUUGCUGGUCCCCGCCACUGGUUCAAGGCUGCGGGGGUUUAUGUAAUGCUGCCUCUUUCCCUACCUAGGAGCAAGGUGGGCUUUUGAGUGUUCUGUGGCAACGUGGUGAGAAAGGCUUUUGAAGCAGUAGACUGUUGGGUAUUGAUCCUGUCCAGAACACUUGAGUUUUGCUCUACAAGCAUAUAUAAAACCGGUUUUAUCUGCCCACCUAA